CGCAGAACCCAUCCAUAGCCCAUCGCCUUUGACCCCAUGACAGCAGACGAGAUCCAGAUCAUCAUAGCUGUACUGUAAUCCUGACGGUUGGGUCAGCUGCAUACCAACAGGGACAGUCCAAGCACAAGAGAAAACUGGAAUGAAGCCCCCUCCAACUAUCUCUCUAACCCCAGCCUCUAACCUCUGGGUCAUCCAGAUGUGAGCUGAAGCUUUGGAUGAGUCUUUUCUUAGGGGCUGCACUGGGAAACUGUGCACUACCAUAAAUGUUGCCUCUCCGGGGACACAGAUGGUCGAACUCAAGGGCAAGCCAUCCAAAAGCUUCCAUGUGGAUACGGUUGGUGAUUGAAGUGCGGAGCCCGACACAGAGCAUGACUCAGGCUAUCCACUCAUUAUCUCCUGCGGACGUCCAAUACUGCUCUAUAAUUUAAAAGGCUAUGCCUUCCCCUGCCAAUCACACCAUCUUGCCUGUCCUCAGGGCAACUGGUGUACGCCACAAUCUGAUACACCAGUGAUACUGUGAAAACACAUAUUUAGGCAACAACAUGUGCAAGACAAAAUGCCCAUCAGCAGUGUUUCUGUGUGUGCAGUUGUGUGUGAACUGGAAGAGCAGCGAAGCACUAAGUGUGGGAGGUUAAAGCAAAAUGUAGCUUUGAUGUGAGUACAAAUCUACAACUACUGUGGAAGUUCAGUGAGGCACUAAAUACAAGAAUGUGAACAUACCAGCCAUGACGUAACAAUAUGUAUGCUGACCUUCAGCUAGGAAACUGUUAGGAAUGUUCUCCAUUCAUGUAGACAAAGCUUGCCAGCAUGCCACCAAUUAAUAUUUAACACUGAACACAAAAUACAAGUAGG